AUUGAACGCUUGCGGAAUGCUUUACACAUGCAAGUCGAACGGCAGCACGGACUUCGGUCUGGUGGCGAGUGGCGAACGGGUGAGUAACAUAUCGGAACGUAUCCAAUAAUGGGGGAUAACGAGUCGAAAGAUUCGCUAAUACCGCAUACGCCCUACGGGGGAAAGCUGGGGACCUUUGGGCCUGGCGUUAAUGGAGCGGCCGAUAUCUGAUUAGCUAGUUGGUGAGGUAAAGGCUCACCAAGGCGACGAUCAGUAGCUGGUCUGAGAGGACGACCAGCCACACUGGAACUGAGACACGGUCCAGACUCCUACGGGAGGCAGCAGUGGGGAAUUUUGGACAAUGGGCGCAAGCCUGAUCCAGCCAUUCCGCGUGAGUGAAGAAGGCCUUCGGGUUGUAAAGCUCUUUCGCAAGGGAAGAAAACUUAGCCACUAACAUUGGUUGAGGUUGACGGUACCUUGAUAAGAAGCACCGGCUAACUACGUGCCAGCAGCCGCCGUAAGAC
rnacentral:rRNA from 1 species